UACGUAGGGUGCGAGCGUUAAUCGGAAUUACUGGGCGUAAAGCGUGCGCAGGCGGUUCGUCGUGUCCGAUGUGAAAGCCCCGGGCUCAACCUGGGAAUGGCAUUGGAAACUGGCGGGCUUGAGUGUGGCAGAGGGGGGUGGAAUUCCGCGUGUAGCAGUGAAAUGCGUAGAGAUGCGGAGGAACACCGAUGGCGAAGGCAGCCCCCUGGGCUAACACUGACGCUCAGGCACGAAAGCGUGGGUAGCAAACAGG
rnacentral:rRNA from 1 species